AUUCAGUCUACCAAGCAAUUCCUUCUUUUGUCACAAUACUUUCUAUGUGGAUAAUUCAAACGAUACUACAUGUAUGUUAUUGUCUGCUGCAAACCCGUCACAGGCAAAUAUGAGUUAAAACUAAAUUUAAAAAGACAACCCUUAUAUACACCUUUCCUUUUACGUUCUGUAUCCACCAAUUAUUACAUUUCAUUUUUCAGGGAAUAUCAAUUCAACGAAUAUGCCUGUAAAUUGUUGUUUCGAGCAGCAGAUUUAUAAAAGAAGAUCAUUAUUGUAUUGGUCUAUUGACCUUGCACAUGUUCGCUAUGCGUUAAUUAUGACAUAAAUACACGCGUGUUUUACGAUCUACUUCUACCUAUUAAGCAUACGAGUUAUAUAAUUUCCUACACUAUGUUUGUCUAAACAAUACCCGGUUAUUGGGCGUAUCUUAAAUUGUACACCUAUCUGUCUUAUUAUCCGAUUGGUAGAUGAUAACCCGAGCAUACAUUUUACGUACGACGCUUUUGUGUGCCACAAUCAAGACGAUCCGGAGGACAAACGGUUCGUACAAGACCUUAUUGAGGAGCUAGAAGGUAGAAGAGGACUUCGACUCUACGUCCCAGGUCGCGAUGAUCUAUCGGGUGCAUUCCAACACAUCAGCAAUGCUGGCGAAAUUGAGGAAAGUUGCCGAAGAGUGAUAAUAGUCAUUUCAAGGUCAUUUCUUCAAAGCAGAUUUUUCGGAUUUCAAGAACGAUUUUCACAAGCAUUAACGACAGACGACAGGCGUAAACGAUGGAUUGCAGUUUGCCGAGAAAGAUGUGCCGUCGUCCCUGAUACACUUAAUGAUUGUAAUACUCUCGACUUUAACGACAUGAAUGACAUCCGCUGGGUCCUCUUAGAAGCAUCCAUCAUUGAACCGAUCACACAAACAACGAAUAUAUUUAGAAGAUUCUUUCGCAGGAGAGUUCUAACUUUUCCGUAUCCAGCCGGACCAAAUGAAAUUACAGCUCC